ensembl:rRNA 5S_rRNA 5S ribosomal RNA
AUCUACGGCAAUACCACCCUGAACGCGCCCGAUCUCGUCUGAUCUCGGAAGCUAAGCAGGGUCGGGCCUGGUUAGUACUUGGAUGGGAGGACACAGAAAGAACUAGGGAUCAAUU